rnacentral:rRNA from 1 species
UACGAAGGUUGCAAGCGUUACUCGGAAUUACUAGGCGUAAAGGGCGCGCAGGCGGCUGCUCAAGUCAGGCGUGAAAGGCCUGGGCUCAACCCGGGAAUUGCGCUUGAGACUGGGCUGGCUUGAGUGCGGGAGAGGAUGGUGGAAUUCCCAGUGUAGAGGUGAAAUUCGUAGAUAUUGGGAAGAACACCGGUGGCGAAGGCGGCCAUCUGGACCGCAACUGACGCUGAGGCGCGAAAGCGUGGGGAGCGAACAGG